GACGAACGCUGGCGGCGUGCUUAACACAUGCAAGUCGAACGGAAAGGCCCUGCUUUUGUGGGGUGCUCGAGUGGCGAACGGGUGAGUAACACGUGAGUAACCUGCCCUUGACUUUGGGAUAACUUCAGGAAACUGGGGCUAAUACCGGAUAGGAGCUCCUGCUGCAUGGUGGGGGUUGGAAAGUUUCGGCGGUUGGGGAUGGACUCGCGGCUUAUCAGCUUGUUGGUGGGGUAGUGGCUUACCAAGGCUUUGACGGGUAGCCGGCCUGAGAGGGUGACCGGCCACAUUGGGACUGAGCUACGGCCCAGACGCCUACGGGAGGCAGCAGUGGGGAAUAUUGCACAAUGGGCGGAAGCCUGAUGCAGCAACGCCGCGUGCGGGAUGACGGCCUUCGGGUUGUAAACCGCUUUCGCCUGUGACGAAGCGUGAGUGACGGUAAUGGGUAAAGAAGCACCGGCUAACUACGUG
rnacentral:rRNA from 1 species